rnacentral:rRNA from 1 species
AUCAACUUUCGAUGGUAGGAUAGAGGCCUACCAUGGUGGUAACGGGUAACGGGGUGUUAGGGCACGACACCGGAGAGGGAGCCUGAGAAACGGCUACCACAUCCAAGGAUGGCAGCAGGCGCGCAAAUUACCCAAUCCCGACACGGGGAGGUAGUGACAAUAAAUAACAAUACGGGGUUCUUUAGGAUCUCGUAAUUGGAAUGAGUACAAUUUAAAUCCCUUAACGAGGAACAAUUGGAGGGCAAGUCUGGUGCCAGCAGCCGCGGUAAUUCCAGCUCCAAUAGCGUAUAUUAAAGUUGUUGCAGUUAAAAAGCUCGUAGUUGAAUUUCGGGAUUGACACAUCGGUCGUGCCUUAAGGGGUAUGAACUGGUGUAGUCAAUUUCUCACCUUCUGGAGAACCGCGAUGCCCUUAAUUGGGUGUCGCGGGGAACCAGGACCUUUACUUUGAAAAAAUUAGAGUGUUUAAAGCAGGCAUUUUGCUUGAAUACAUUAGCAUGGAAUAAUAAAAUAGGACGGCAUGAUUCUAUUUUGUUGGUUUCUAGGAUCACCGUAAUGAUUAAUAGGGAUAGUUGGGGGCAUUAGUAUUCAAUUGUCAGAGGUGAAAUUCUUGGAUUUAUUGAAGACUAACUACUGCGAAAGCAUUUGCCAAGGAUGUUUUCAUUAAUCAAGAACGAAAGUUAGGGGAUCGAAGACGAUCAGAUACCGUCGUAGUCUUAACCAUAAACUAUGCCGACUAGGAAUCAGACGAUGUUAAUUUUUUAAUGACUCGUUUGGCACCUUACGGGAAACCAAAGUGUUUGGGUUC